UGCAGCUCCUUGCUGGUGGCAGCUGUGCUCUCUGAUCCCAAAGGACCACUAUGGUUCCAGAGGAAAGAGUGGUUGGAGAACAGGAGCAGUUUUCAGCAGAAGCAUUUGUGACUGAGAUAAGACACGGAGGAGAACUCCAUCCUCUAAGCCCAAGUGUGUUCAAAGGAGGGUUGGAGCAUCUUCCACUGACUUCACCUCUGUGAAGCUCCUCUCCUCUCUUCGUAGUGAGAACAGAGAUGGCUGUGCUCCAAUCUCAGGUAUACCAUUCAAUAAUGUCUUACGUAUGUCUACAGCCAUGCAACUGCCUCCCAGAGCAACAUCUCACAUUUCCAGGCCCCAGCAGACUUCCUGAUGUUCCUCCUCUUUCAGUACAAACCUCCGGUCCUACAGAUUGCUUUGAGGGACUGAAGUUGACUUUUGUGGAGCCAAUAAAAUGUCCCUUGGAGAGACUGGCCUUGUACCUUGUCUACAUUGUUCCCUUACAAGCUUCCUGAUUUUGUGAUCCCUUGCCGCUGGAUUACUAACCCGAUUUCUCUCUCCAUAGCUACCAAUCCUACUUUAAUAUGUGAAACCUUUUGAAAAUAAAGUUUCAAACAGGAGACUAAAAAAUCAGUAUUUCACCCCCAAAAUAUUGCUGAUCUAAAGAAGCAGCUCAAGAUCUAACUCCUUCCCCCAUCUCUCAGUCCUCUGUCCUCCCCAAAGCAUAGGAUGAAGCUGUUCUCUAAAAUUCCCUUAUCUAUCUAGAAACCGGACCUACCAAAGAGGAACACAAUUGCCUGCCUUGAAAUUUUAUUAACCAGAGACGAUUAAAAUUCAUAUCACAGAGGAAGAAUCCCAAACCAUUUCUUCUUUCUGCCCCAUUCAAUUUCCAAAGAAAAUUACUAACCAUUGUCGGAGCAUUAGGCCCAUUUAUUUCCACCUAAAAAUCAUUUAUUAUCCCUCAGAUUGCCACAUUUCCCCCAUAUUCCCUUCCCCUGUGAAGAAGGGGCUAUAAGUAUCUG